AGUUCCAAUAUUUUGCCAUAAUAUUCAGAUCAUCAUAAUACCUUAUCUAAUUUAAAAUUGACUGGUCAUUUUAUUACUUAAUUUUAAAUCCUUUUAUCACAAAAUUACAAAUACCAUUGCUUUACGCGAUUUGAAUAUUACUACGCUAGCAGUCGAUAAAAAUUUAAUGAGAACCAGUUUAUUUGUUCUACCUUCUGGUUCCCGAUGCAUGAGAGCCAAAGUACUUGCAUAAAUUUGGUGCCAAUUUUAUCAAGUCAUAAAUUAACUAACUAUCAUAGAACACAAUAAUUCAGGAAGAUGGAAUACGAUUUUCAAAUUAGAUAACUUUCAAGCUUAAAAUGGUUAAAAAGUGUGAAUGACAGAGUAAAAAUUUGUAUGCGUAUGAAUACGAACUAUUUUCCCUCUGACGUCAUUUUCCCGAAAUCGCCAUCUUGGUCAGUUAUUCCGAGAAAAGGUUGAGAAGAUUUGCUAUCAAUUAGGAAGUCCCAGCUAUUACGUUGAUAUUUUGGUUGCAAUCUAUUCCAUCUUGGUGUAUUGUCUUCAUACUUGGCCACAACAACCCUUCAAAUAGACCAGACUAAACUUGACCUCCAUAUAAACAUUCAAGAUGGUCGGCCUACAUGUCAGAUUUGUAAAUGUGAACGGCACGAUAUCGAUUUUAAGGAUGCUUUAGGGUCAAUGAGGAUGAAAUAAAAUGUGAGACUGUCAAUCUGACAAACCUUGCAGUGAAUAAAUGAAAACAGUGGCGUUUGUAUGAUAGAACAGUAAUAGCAGGAGUGAUAAGGACAGAUGCAUGUAGAUGUGUCUUCAUGUCGGAAACACUAGAGAAAUUGACACAUUUGGGUUUUUCAAAACUUAAAGAAAUUGGAAUACCAGAAGACUGCUUGCCAUUUGCAAUGUUGGAAUGUGUGAUGUCAAAAGCCUCAUGAAUAUAGUAACUUGACUUAAUCUAAUAAGAAAAAGAAAAGACAUUGAGGAGAAAAUUAGUCACCAGUCUUUCACCAAGAACAUGAGAUAACUUUCCAAUAUUUGAAAUAUCAUAAUAUGUAUAGAACUGGAAUGAGCGACAUAAUAUGUAUUGAUAUUGAAUGAGCGACCAGUUUUUCACCAGGAAAAUAAGAUCACUUAUCUAUUUUUCAAAUAUGUAUGGACAGAACUCUAUCAACUUCAAGGUUAGAGUUUAUCAUGAAGAACAUGAGAUAACUUAUGUAUGAACAGAACCACAUUUGAAUAUAGAGGCGCCAGUUCAUCACUAAGAAGAUGAGCUAACUUAUCAAUGUUUGAAAUCUGUUAUACCCCGCACAACAAAGUUGUAAGGGGGCUAUACUGGAAUCAGCUUGUCUGGCCGUCGGGCAUUCGUCGCUUUUUUCUUGUCCGUCCAUAAAAUUAA